CCGAGCCGCGGUACACAUCAUCAGAGAACUUUGGCGGAUUGUCGUUCUCGUCAGUCACUGUCACCUCCACCAGGACGCUGGACGACAGCUUGAUGUCGCCGCCGUGGUCUAUGGCGACCACGUUAAACCUGUAAACCCUGGUUGCCUCACAGUCCGUCUCCUGUAUUGUGGUGAUCCAGCCGCUGUCUCCAUCGAUGGAGAAUACCUCUCUGAUGUCCGCUGUGGUGUCAUCAGGUGUCAUCAUCGUGGCCUUGAACCCCCUUCAGUGGCGCUAAAUAGUCGACAUUCACAAUGCUGUGGUUGUACGGGGCAGAUCCCAGCAGUCAACAUUAGAAAACAUUGGCAGCUCUCAGGGCCUUGACUCGGAUGACCUCGGAGCCUGUAGGUGCCAGGUUGGAGAUGCUGGCCUCGUAGUGGGGGCUUAGGAAAGCCGGAGAGUGGUCAUUACAGUCCUCCACAUGAACCACCACCUUCACAAAAUUUCUCUUCACUGGGAUCUCCUGGUCACGCACCUAAGGAGGAGUAAAGUAAUGACUCCACUCUUUGGGUCCAGAUGGAAGAACUUGGUGCUGUCUGGAUGUAGGCUGCUGUGGAUGGAGUACACCAGUUUACUGUUGGUGUCGGCGUCGUGCGCACUGAUUUGCAGGAUGUCUUUCCAAGGGGAAGUAUCCUCAGGAACCCUCACCUUAAACACACAGGAACAGAUGGUGGAAUAUUUAUUUUUUUAAGUAAUGGCAGAAAACAACAGGGUUUGAAAACUGGAUGGGAAAUUGAAUUCCUGAGCUCUGACAUUUCUAAACAUUUUGAGGAGAAGAACUUGAGACAGGAUCAGAGAGUGUGUUGGAUGUCCUGAUAAGCACAAUAAAGGAUGCCUGCUGUGGGUUUUGUGAUUCUCAA